UUAUUUCCUGCUUCUCUCCACUGUCUUAUUUUCAAGCUGCUGCUAGUGCACCACAAGAACCUGAUUUAAUACUAAGUGUCCAUACCAAAGUUCAAUGUCUGUCCCUACAGCAUAAUAUAACAUCAGUUAUCUCAAACAAUGAUCUGGCUUAGUUCCUGGCCCAGGUGCAUAUUAGUUUUUGGAAAGAAACUGAAUGCAUAUUGUAAAAGUGUAUUAGCUCUUUCAAGCCAAAGGGGAGUGAUUAAAUAGAUGAUUUCUCCAGGGGUGGAGGCCUUCAAGUGGGACGAGAUGAGGAGGCAGAGAAUCCUAAGCACUCUGCUUCAUUUUCUUGUGAGCAAAACGCAUGAGACAGUGUCCUUUGU
rnacentral:antisense_RNA from 1 species